CCUUCGCCAUGAAUAAACCAUUGAUAUCAAUUUCUACUGAAGAAUUACUCAACACAGGGUCGUCCACAAAAGUAACAUUCAUUGCAGAAACAUGAUCCACUGAGACUUGUUUUGGAAGUGAUUGCAAUCGGGAACCAAGUUUUAAUAUCCCUUCUUUGAUUUUCUUGGAAAUAGCAUUUUCUACUGCAGACCCUAUAGGACCUUCAAAAGCAUCAACCACCCUUUGAUACAGCCAAGAUGCUCCACC
rnacentral:misc_RNA from 1 species